rnacentral:pre_miRNA from 1 species
UACAAUUUUUAACUUUUCGUCUUAUUCAAUUUUUUUUGCGAUUGGUAUUUUUGUUUUUAUUAGAUAAUAAAUCAUGAAUAGUACUUUACGUGUGACUAAUUUUUUUCUAAUUUUUUGAAAAUUUUUCAAAAAAGAUGAAUGGUCAAACGUUAGACACGGAAACC